UACCCUCAAAAUCUCAUUGCAUGAUACAUACAUUAUAGGUGUUGAUUUUUGUAUGUACCCAGUGAAUCCUUGUUGUAAUACACAAUACAUGCAUAUAUAUUCAACCACGUGACUUGCACAGUGCCUGUGUAAAGUUGUAAAUUGUAGAAUUAGUCGAUGUUUCAUCAGCAUUUAAUUUUAUAUCUUGCUUGAGAGGCUAGCAAGAAGCUCAUCAGAAUGUUGAUACUAUAGCAAGGCACAGUGGCACACAGGUCCAAAGGUUGAUUUGGGC
rnacentral:misc_RNA from 1 species